rnacentral:rRNA from 1 species
UACGUAGGGGGCUAGCGUUGUCCGGAUUUAUUGGGCGUAAAGAGCGUGUAGGCGGCCAUGUAGGUCCGGUGUGAAACCUCGAGGCUUAACCUCGAGCCUGCAUUCGAUACUGGGUGGCUAGAGUCUGGUAGGGGGAUCUGGAAUUCCUGGUGUAGCGGUGGAAUGCGCAGAUAUCAGGAGGAACACCGGUGGCGAAGGCGGGUCUCUAGUACGGUACUGACGCUGAGACGCGAAAGCGUGGGGAGCGAACAGG